rnacentral:miRNA from 1 species
UAUUGGGUUGGCCAAAACGUUCAUUUGGAUUUUUCAGUAACAUCAUAUGGAAAAUCCCAAACAAACUUUUUUGGCCAACUCAAUA